rnacentral:rRNA from 1 species
GACGAACGCUGGCGGCGUGCCUAAUACAUGCAAGUCGAGCGGAAACGAUCCUAGCUUGCUAGGAGGCGUCGAGCGGCGGACGGGUGAGUAACGCGUGAGAAUCUACCCAUGAGUGGGGGACAACCCGGGGAAACUCGGGCUAAUACCGCAUACGCCCUACGGGGUAAAGCAGGGGACCUUCGGGCCUUGCGCUGGUGGAUGAGCUCGCGUCGGAUUAGCUUGUUGGUGAGGUAAAGGCUCACCAAGGCGACGAUCCGUAGCUGGUCUGAGAGGAUGAUCAGCCACACCGGGACUGAGACACGGCCCGGACUCCUACGGGAGGCAGCAGUGGGGAAUCUUGGACAAUGGGGGCAACCCUGAUCCAGCCAUGCCGCGUGUGUGAAGAAGGCCUUCGGGUUGUAAAGCACUUUCAGCAGGGAGGAAGGCUUACCCCUAAUACGGGUGAGUACUUGACGUUACCUGCAGAAGAAGCACCGGCUAAUUUCGUG